rnacentral:rRNA from 1 species
GACGAACGCUGGCGGCGUGCUUAACACAUGCAAGUCGAACGGAAAGGCCCUGCUUUUGUGGGGUGCUCGAGUGGCGAACGGGUGAGUAACACGUGAGUAACCUGCCCUUGACUUUGGGAUAACUUCAGGAAACUGGGGCUAAUACCGGAUAGGAGCUCCUGCUGCAUGGUGGGGGUUGGAAAGUUUCGGCGGUUGGGGAUGGACUCGCGGCUUAUCAGCUUGUUGGUGGGGUAGUGGCUUACCAAGGCUUUGACGGGUAGCCGGCCUGAGAGGGUGACCGGCCACAUUGGGACUGAGAUACGGCCCAGACGCCUACGGGAGGCAGCAGUGGGGAAUAUUGCACAAUGGGCGGAAGCCUGAUGCAGCAACGCCGCGUGCGGGAUGACGGCCUUCGGGUUGUAAACCGAUGUCGCCUGUGACGAAGCGUGAGUGACGGUAAUGGGUAAAGAAGCACCGGCUAACUACGUG